UUUUUGUUCUCCAUUCCAUACUCUUAAAUUUGAAGUGGACAAGAAAUAAAAUAGAACUUCAAAACCAGGUCAUUUCAUAGAUACCUCUUACAUUUGAGGAGCAUGGUUAUCAUUUAUUCAUUUGCUUGGACAGAUUUGAUGUCAACUUAUCAGAUGAUGCUGCAUCCACAGGUGUCAGUUUCAAUGUACAGAUAUGCUUUUCUCUGAUGGUGAUAUUAAUAUCAGGGUAGCAUAAAAGAUAUAAAGUUAAAAGUGAGCCAUUUCAUCUAUUUGUACCAAAAGAAAUCACUUCUAUUCACUGAAUAAAAGUUUUACGUCCAAUAAAAAGAAAAUAUUUUUUAUUUAAAAGAUCAAAAAUCAAUCCAAACUUCAUCCUGUUUAAAAAAAAAAAAACAGUAUUUACAUCCAACCUAGGCUGCCAGACUUCACUUGCAAAAACGAUUAAUGCUUGUUUUUCUUUAUUUUUCAUAUGUACACAUGCAUUCUGAAAACAAAUCAAAAUGCUUUUAAAUGCAGUUGUUUCAUACUUCUAACUGCAUCUAAUUUUUACAAUUUCUUAACAAAGUACAACUUUCCCUACUGAGCAAGGGCACAUACUAUUUUUAUUCUGAGAAUGAAUUAUUUGAGCAAAAGAAAUUAUAUAGAAGUAAUUUGUGGCAGAAUCUAUUCAUUUUACCAUUAUCACUACCUGAUUUCAAAUAUGUACAUGUCUAGUGACUUUAUUGAAAUAAAACAGCAUUAUAAAGCAUCUGUGAUAGUUUCCUUUCAAAUCUCUGUAUAAUAAUACAGAUGGAAAUUCUUUGUUUGUCUAUUCAGAGAGACUGCACAUUUACUUAAGACCAACUUCACUAGAAUAACUGAGAGAAACAAUGUGCUUGAAACAAUGAACCACGUUUCGACAUUUCCUAAUAAUGUAUGUUCUUGUGUGUUCUACUAUGUGUUUUUCUUCGUUAUCUUCUUAUAUCUGAAGUUCUAUUCCCACCUCCCCUUCCCUCCACCCCAUGUAUUUGAUCAUUUCUCCAAGUCCCUUGGCUGAACCAAUCUCUUUUCAUGCAGAGGAUAAAAAGAGAAGAACUUCAAAGUAGGUUCAGGUAAUUAACAGCUGAGGGGAAUAUAAUCUAAACCAUAGGCCCUGCUUUGCACCCAGGCUGGCUCUCUGAGCCAGCCGGCAAGGGAGUGCCUAUUCCCUAUAGCAUCUAAAUCGGCUUCCUCUGAACAGCUCUGCCAGGCCUCCAGUUAUCACAUCUGCAUUUCAAACACCAUGGCUCUGGCAUUAAUUAUUAAUUAGCCUACAGUCACCCUAGAGGAUUCAAGUUCCAGUCUGCACAUACUUAUUCAUUGACCUCUAUCUUAGUUUUUGUUAGAGGGAAAAAAAACUCAGUAGAAUGCUUAAUAAUUUCCUUUCUAUUAGACCUUCUGUUCUAGUUUCAUGAAGAGGAAACAGUAUAUUUUCCAAGUGGGAAUAAUCACAGAAUAGCCUCCAAAUUUGUUUACAGUAAUAUGCUGUCAAAAGUUGAGAGCUAUAAGAAGUGAAAUGAUUUAUAGACAACUGUGAGUGCUGAAAGAUACUAUUUAAUGUGCAACAAAUUGCCUGGCUGUAGUUUCCUCAAAUUGGGAGAUAUAGUUAUGGGAUAAAGCCAAUCAUUCUAUAGUUUCCAAGGAGAAAAUCUACAGAGUUUGUAAACUAGAUUCUAGCCUUGGGUAAUACAUGCGAUCAGACAAACUGGUUGGAGGUAUAGUUGAAAGCAGGGAUGCCCAAAGAAACCAGAAAUACAUAUUAUUUUUUAAAGAAGAAUUUCAUGAUCUUUGACUUAUUUGAAAAAGGAAGUUAAUGGAGCUCCUUUCUUCCUCGUAAACACUGUGUGUAUAUUGAGUUGUAUCAUUCCUAAUAAACCUCAGGAGAUAAACGUGGAAGUCUUCACAGAAUAGCACAGAAGGGAAGUAAAUAAGUGGUGAUCAGACCUAGGUUUACAUCACAGCCCUUGCGUUCACUAAGAAAUUUAAACUUGCCAUUAAAAAAGAAGGGUGGCCUUUGCCUCUAUCUCCUAAUUAUUGUGAGAAUUAAUUGACAAAAUAUAUAAAAAUAUUAGAGUGAAAAUGGGUAAAAAGUGUUACUUAUCACCAUAAAUAUUCAUGGCAUUGUUAUUUUUAAUAUUUAUUUGUUUAUUUGUAUUAAAGUAUGUCUAUAUACCACAUAAAUGUUUGGUGCUUGGAGAUAAAAUGAGAGGGCACUGGAUUCUCUGAAACAGGAGUUAUGGAUGGUAAUGAUCUACCAUAUGGGUGCUGUCAGUCCAUCAUAGGUGCUCUCCAAGGAUAUUAUUUUAUUGUAAUAUUGAUAUAAUUUGUCUUUAUUUUAUUUAAAUUUUAAUCUACACUACUUCCUAGUAUGGACUCUUAAAAGAUUUGGUAAAACCUGGGGACUACCAUUAUAUAUUUCUUUCAACUCCACUCAGUUUGUCUUCAUAAUAAUUCACUAGAAAUAUAUACAAGCUUGUGAAAAUGCUGCAUGGUGAAGUGGAUUUCUAAAUAACCUAGAGAAAGUGUCUGUUUUCAGCCACUAAAAAUGAUAAUUGUGUAUCUAUAACUCACCAGAAAAACAAUCAAUAGCCUAAGAAAUGGAGAUUUUACAACCACUAUCAAAGAUUUGUGUGAUAAUAUUACUGUAAACAUUUAAAUGAAUAAGCAUGUAAAAAUUCUUGGCUGUGAAAUUGGCAAAAUAACCAUCUAUUCUACAAUGUAACUCACUAUUUUUAAGAAAUAAAGGCUCAGUUUUAU
rnacentral:lncRNA from 1 species